rnacentral:rRNA from 1 species
UGGGGAAUAUUGGGCAAUGGGCGCAAGCCUGACCCAGCGACGCCGCGUGGGUGAUGAAGGCCUUCGGGUUGUAAAGCCCUGUCAUGCGGAAAGAACAGUCCCGUAACGAAUAGUUGCGGGAUUUGACGGUACCGCAGGAGGAAGCACCGGCUAACUCCGUGCCAGCAGCCGCGGUAAUACGGAGGGUGCAAGCGUUGUUCGGAAUUAUUGGGCGUAAAGGGCGCGUAGGCGGUAAUGAAAGUCAGAUGUGAAAUACUUCAGCUCAACUGAAGAACUGCAUCUGAAACUUCAUAACUAGAGUACGGAAGAGGGAAAUGGAAUUCCCGGUGUAGAGGUGAAAUUCGUAGAUAUCGGGAGGAACACCAGUGGCGAAGGCGAUUUCCUGGUCUGGUACUGACGCUGAGGCGCGAAAGUGUGGGGAGCAAACAG